UUCUUAUCCAGAGAGGUGGAGGGACUGGCCCUUUGAUACCUCGGCAGCAGACUAGUUUAAGUACUGUGCCAACUCCAGAAAGCGUUAUGCUUGAAGAUAAGAA
rnacentral:ncRNA from 2 species